rnacentral:rRNA from 1 species
CCUACGGGUGGCUGCAGUGGGGAAUAUUGGACAAUGGGCGCAAGCCUGAUCCAGCCAUGCCGCGUGAGUGAUGAAGGCCCUAGGGUUGUAAAGCUCUUUCAACGGUGAAGAUAAUGACGGUAACCGUAGAAGAAGCCCCGGCUAACUUCGUGCCAGCAGCCGCGGUAAUACGAAGGGGGCUAGCGUUGUUCGGAAUUACUGGGCGUAAAGCGCACGUAGGCGGAUCGAUCAGUUAGGGGUGAAAUCCCGGGGCUCAACCCCGGAACUGCCUCUAUUACUGUCGAUCUCGAGUUCGAGAGAGGUGAGUGGAAUUCCGAGUGUAGAGGUGAAAUUCGUAGAUAUUCGGAGGAACACCAGUGGCGAAGGCGGCUCACUGGCUCGAUACUGACGCUGAGGUGCGAAAGCGUGGGGAGCAAACAGGAUUAGAUACCCCUGUAGUC